GGACGGGAAUAACCUCGGGAAACUGAGAAUAAUGCCCGAUAGAACAUUAUACCUGGAACGGUCUAUGUUUCAAAUGAUUUAUCGCCGUAGGAUGGGACUGCGGCCUAUCAGUUUGUUGGUGAGGUAAUGGCCCACCAAGACUAUUACAGGUACGGGCUCUGAGAGGAGUAGCCCGGAGAUGGGUACUGAGACACGGACCCAGGCCCUAUGGGGCGCAGCAGGCGAGAAAACUUUGCAAUGUGCGAAAGCACGACAAGGUUAAUCCGAGUGGUUUCUGCUAAAGAAACCUUUUGCUAGUCCUAGAAACACUAGUGAAUAAGGGGUGGGCAAGUUCUGGUGUCAGCCGCCGCGGUAAAACCAGCACCUCAAGUGGUCAGGAUGAUUAUUGGGCCUAAAGCAUCCGUAGCCCGUUUUGUAAGUUUUCGGUUAAAUCCAUACGCUCAACGUAUGGGCUGCCGGGAAUACUGCAUAACUAGGAAGUGGGAGAGGUAGACGGUACUCGGGAGGAAGGGGUAAAAUCCUUUGAUCUCUUGAUGACCACCUGUGGCGAAGGCGGUCUACCAGAACACGUUCGACGGUGAGGGAUGAAAGCUGGGGGAGCAAACCGGAUUAGAUACCCGGGUAGUCCCAGCUGUAAACUAUGCAAACUCAGUGAUGCAUUGGCUUGUGGCCAAUGCAGUGCUGCAGGGAAGCCGUUAAGUUUGCCGCCUGGGAAGUACGUACGCAAGUAUGAAACUUAAAGGAAUUGGCGGGGGAGCACCACAAGGGGUGAAGCCUGCGGUUC
rnacentral:rRNA from 1 species